rnacentral:rRNA from 1 species
GACGAACGCUGGCGGCGUGCCUAAUACAUGCAAGUUGAGCGAUGAAGCUUGGUGCUUGCACCAAUUUGAAGAGCAGCGAACGGGUGAGUAACGCGUGGGGAAUCUGCCUUUGAGCGGGGGACAACAUUUGGAAACGAAUGCUACUACCGCAUAACAACUUUAAACAUAAGUUUUAAGUUUGAAAGAUGCAAUUGCAUCACUCAAAGAUGAUCCCGCGUUGUAUUAGCUAGUUGGUGAGGUAAAGGCUCACCAAGGCGAUGAUACAUAGCCGACCUGAGAGGGUGAUCGGCCACAUUGGGACUGAGACACGGCCCAAACUCCUACGGGAGGCAGCAGUAGGGGAUCUUCGGCAAUGGACGAAAGUCUGACCGAGCAACGCCGCGUGAGUGAAGAAGGUUUUCGGAUCGUAAAACUCUGUUGGUAGAGAAGAACGUUGGUGAGAGUGGAAAGCUCAUCAAGUGACGGUAACUACCCAGAAAGGGACGGCUAACUACGUG